UUCUGUUCAAGCUCAGCCUACGUUUUCCUCCCAACCCACCCGUUUAUUGUUUUUGUGAGCGUGCUUCCUGCCGCAAUGCCCUGAGUGUGUUUCUACUUCCCUUAAUUGCAUCUGCUCAAUUCCUCCUCUUUCCACUUUAAACUUCUAAGAAACUUCUACCAGGUAGCCCAUAGUGGAGACAUCUUUUUCUUCCUUCAUUUCCUCCGUGGCCUUGAAACAUCUCUUUAUCUUCUCUAUAUUGGCCUGGUUGGGCUAACCAGUUCUGUCCACCUGCAGGAAGAAGUUUCUAUAUUCACCCCUUUUUUCUAUUGUAACAAAAAGUCUGGGUCCUUGCUGCGCGUGGCAUCGUCAAAAGGGAGAUGGGGAGAGGUAAAAUGCGUGAGAAUUUAACUAGGAUUUAAGUGCAAAAAUGUACUUCUGAUUACAGAUACUUGAAUUUCUUUUGAGAUGUCUGUUUUGAAAGGUGGUGAUCUUUACUGCCUCAGUAUAGUAAUGCGGUAGGUGCUGUGCUUUGCGUAUGUUUUGAAUAUUAAUGUGCUUUAACACAACAUCGAAGAGCUCUGGUCACAGACCAGAACUCCCUUUUUAGGGAAUUUUUAAAAGGCAGAAUUUAGCCUUCUCCCCACUCCUGCAAGUAAGUAUGUAAAGAAAGCAGGAGGUGGAAUUUAAUGAGGCUGUUCUGGCUGUACAGCAGUGUAGAGAACAGGACAAACGAGAUGCUGCUCUGUGCGACUUCUUGCUGGGAGGGUUCAGUAGAGAAAAGAGAGCUGUUUUCUUCCCAUGGGUGCACAGUGGGAGGACAGGAGGCAACGGGGCCAAGCAGGAACGUGGGAAACCUUGGUUAGAUCGAAUUUUUUCAUUUUUUUCACCAUAAGGGUGAUCAAACACCGGACCGAGGGACCAGGGAGGCUGUGGGAUCUCUGGCGUUGGAGACGCUCAAAACUCAAGUGGGUGAGGCUUUGAGCAACCCACUUAGAACGCGGGGUUGGGCUUGAGACCUCUUCCAACCUGAAUCCUUCUGAGAUCCUGCGAUAACAUGCAUGUAUCUUCACCGGUGUGACUCCUCUCGUUUCUCACGACCCAGGGGAAUGACAAUGACCAGCCCCCUGCCUUCAGCAGGGAAUGGGAACUGCUAUUACAUCCUGACGGAAGACUGUGCCUAUGGCAGCAAAUACUUCCAAGCUGGGAACAUGUGCUUCUGCAGCGAGAGGAGUUACCUGCGCAACUUCUCCGACGACAGGCCCCCGGCUUGCUUCUUGAAAGUCGUCAUGCUGGAUGACAGCUCCAUCGUCACGAUAAACGUUGAAAUCCUUCAGCCGGUGCGCGAGGAGGUGGCCGUCUUCCUCCUGGCCAUCAGCAGCCACAACGAACGUUUGGAUUACUUCUUGGAGAGGCUGAGCCUCGAAGCAGCUCUGCGGGCCGUGCCAGGCCAAAAAGUGAUGGUGGAGGUUGACCGGCAAUAUUUCCCUGGUAUCAUCCGCUACAUCGGGAGCAUUUACAAAAACACUUCGGCUGCGCUGUCUCCGUUCUUCUUCGGGGUGGAGUUACAGGGUGAGGGGGAAAACAGAGGGCGCAGCGAUGGAUCUUAUCACGGCACUGAGUAUUUCAAGUGUAAGCGGAACUGCGGGAUCUUCCUGCCGUUUCACAGAGUCCAAUUUACUCCCACGUCGGACGACGACUAUAUGAAACAGAAGCCAAAACUGGACACAGAGGAGGUGGUUCCCGUGAAAGUGGGAGAUGCAGUUAGCUUCUACGUGGACGAGGUCCUCACAAAAGGAAUAGCGAUGGCAGUUUACAGGGAGGGAACCCAAUGGUUCGUUAAAGUUUGUCCGGAAGAGGAAGGAACAACUGACAUUUUUAGAGAAAUCCCUAUGGACUCUGUUGUGAAGGAAAGCUUGCAAAGUGUAUUUUCACCGUUCGAGUCUGACAUGGGCUUGGGACACCCAAACCAAAUGAAACGAGAGAUAAGCGAGAGCGGUGAGGAGUGUGAAAGCGGGAAUUCAUCCCUGGAGGUGAACUCCGUGGUCCAGAUCACCUUGGACAAGGGAAAUCAGGUUUCGGGAAUCAUCCGCUGGUUGGGCUACCUGCCCCAAAUUAAGCACAAAAUGGCAGGAGUUGAACUGGAUGAAGAUAAAGGGGUCACUGCUGGCGAAUGGCUGGGCAGAUACUACUUCCACUGCGCGCCAAAACGCGGCCUCUUCGUGAAGCUGCAGUCCUGCCAGCCUGACGUUCGCUUCCAGUGUUCGCGCAACAGUGACCUGAGCCUCGUGGGUUAUAGAGGGCAAGACGUUCUUCCACAGGCUCCAGACAGUUUUCCUCCCCUCAGGAACGAGGCAGCGGUGCGUGUCCUGCGAGGGCGGAUGAAGGGCAUCCAAGGCCACUGUAAUUCCUGCUAUAUGGAUGCAGCUCUCUUCAGCCUCUUCUCCUGUACGUCCGUGCUGGACUCCAUGCUCUUCAAGCCCUUCCCACUGUGUGACAGGAACGUCCAGAGCAUUCUGCGGGAUGAGAUUGUUAGUCCCCUCCGAAAGACUGGCUUCGUCAGGGCUAGGAGCGUGAUGCACCUGAGGGAGCAGCUCACUGAAAAGGGCCAGUGUUCAAGCUUUACCAACGCUGAGAAAGAUCCUGAGGAGUUCCUCAAUCUCAUAAUGCAUCAGAUCCUGGGAAUAGAGCCACUCUUGAAACUGCAGUCAGGAGGCCAGAAGGAGCAGGACUGUUACUGUUACCAGAUAUUUAUGGACAAACAGGAGGAUCUGGUGGUUCCUGACGUGCAGCAGUUAGUGGAACAUUCCUUCCUGUCCUCUGAUCUCAAGCUAGUGGAGAUCCCAUCUUGCUUCAUUAUCCAAAUGCCGCGAUUUGGGAAGGAAUAUAAAAUGUUCAGCAAAAUCAUUCCUUCCUUGGAGCUGGAUAUAACAGAUCUGCUGCUUGACAGUCCCAGGGAGUGCUGCGUGUGCGGCGACGUCGCCACCCUGGAGUGUUCAGAGUGUUUCAAAGACAAAGUAUUCGCGGCUACGGGCCUGAAGCAGUUCUGCAGCUCCUGUUCCAGACAGGUUCACUCCCACUACCGACGCAAAACGCACAAGCUGGCAAGGCUGCACGUCCCGGAAGAGUUUCAGAGCCGGAACCCUUGGGGCAACCAGCAGGUCCCUCGGGAGAAGAUGGAGCUCUUUGCAGUGCUCUGCAUCGAGACCAGUCAUUACGUCUCCUUUGUGAAAUACGGCCCCGAGAAUGAACACUGGAUGUUCUUCGACAGCAUGGCUGACAGGCAUGGUGAUGAAAACGGCUUCAACAUUCCCACGGUAACGCUGUGCCCUGAAGUUGCCAAAUACCUGGACUUGCCGCUGGCGGUGCUGGCCCUGGAGCAACCUCGGGACAUGGACGGAGUGGCCAAGCGCCUCUUCUGCGACGCCUACAUGUACAUGUACCAGAGCAAGAAGAUGGCCCUUUACAAAUGACACAACCUUGGGCUGGAGCUGCAGAGCAGCGAGGCGGCGGAAACGUGAGCUUGGAUCAACCCUGCAGCUCGUCAUCGGUGAAAGCAGCCGGCUCCGGGUGCGCUGAGCUUGCACUUCUGCUUCUUCUUACCUCUUCCAGCAUCUGGUGUCAAGCUAUCCAUGCCAGCCUGUCUGGAUUUGUUAAAUCCUGUACUUGGCCUUAUCAAGGGAUAGUUUGUACUUCCAGUGGACCUGGACUCUGAAUUAUUUACACUCAAAUUCAUUCUCGUUUCCUACCUUCCUCUUCCACCCUCCUUCCUCCCCAGGCACUCUGCAGCUCUGCCCUACCUCAGAGUCCUCCGCAACAGCCUUUUUCCCCCGCCAGCCCUCCCUCUCAAAGCUGAGGGCCAGCAUCUCAUCAAAACACGAGCAGUUAUCCUCAGGUUUGCAAAGAGCACAAGAAAACCACGGCCUUGCCAUGCGCAAGACAUCCUCACGGGGACUUGCGGCGUGAGAAAACCAGGAGCUGCGCCGGUGUGGUUAAGAGAUGGGUCAGGAGGAGGAUUUUUCUCGAGGUCUGGGAUGUGACCCCACACCUAAAGCUCAGUCCCUGAAUUGUCUGCGCUUCCCUUAUCCAGCACUAAUACUCUGGCACUUUUUUACCCACCACCCCUUAUUUUCAACCGUGAGAUUAACUGGAUGUCUUGAGCUGCAAGUACGCUUUAAAAAUACAUGGGCUCGUAAGAACAAAACUGGAGGAAAGACGGAGCAGAGAAACGGCACGUGAGCUCAUUAUGCAUCCUCUUUUUUGCAAAGUCUGCACUAUUCCUACGUGAUCGGGUGUUUUAACCUCACUUUUAGCACGCGCUGUCCCAUCUUUGCAUCCACUUCUGAGAUCUGUGCCAAAGACCAAUAAUAGAAUUCCAAAGGCAAAUAUGGAAAAAAUGAGCACUCGGAUUUUCUGCCAUGACUGCAGUAAGCUUUAAGGUCUCUGGGUAUUAGGUAUUCCUUCAGUUAAAUAACUUAAAUUUGCAAACUGGGGGGUUCUCUACCAUUAAGCACAUGCUGCCGCGGCAGUGGGAAGCUGUUACAGGAGUCGGUGCUAUGAACGGGGUUACCCAGACUCCAGAUUUCCCUGACAGGACAUCAAAACCUUGAGGGACGUAGCCAGGAGCCCCAGAUGUACAGCUAUAAUCUCCUUCCUGCCCUUUUUUCUUUUUUUUUUUUUUCCCCUGCUGGGUACAGUAAUUGUAAUACGCAGCCUGUGGCUUUGUGUCGGUCCUGGAGGCUUGGGCCACGUGCUACCUGUGAUUUAGGACAUUUUUUUUUGUUUGUUUUUGCUGACAGCAGGGUUGUGAUGCCACCUGGGACCUCGACAGCUUGAUGCCUGUCUCGGCUUCCUGGCGUGUCCCUUCUUUCUGUAUGUGGUGGCUAACAAAGGAGGGCUGGUGUGUAAUGAACCCAGAUCGUUAACGCGGAGUUAAUGUUUUGAGAGCGCUGCUGCCCAAUUCAGCUUCCAAAUGUCCUUGCUGAGGAUUUGGGCCUUGACACUCAAGUUGACGGCGAGGCAGCGACGUGUCCUCAUGGUAGAGAAGGCAAACAGUAGCCCGGGCUGCAUUCAAAGGCUUGCCAGCAGGUCAAAGGAGGGGAUCCUCCCCCUCUGCUCAGCGCUGAGAAGGCCACACCUGAAGUACUGGGUCCAGUUUUGAGCUCCCCAGUACAAGAUUGAUGAAGAGAGUCCCGCAGAGAUGAUGAAGGGCCUGGAGCAGCCCUCCUGUGAGGAAAGGCUGAGAGACCUGGGGACUGUUCAGCCUGGAGAUGAGAAGGCUCGGGAGGAUCUCAUCAAGGUUUAUAAAUCCCUGAAGGGAGGGUGCAAAGAAGACGGAGAGGAUCUUCUCCACGGUGCCCAGUGCCAGGACCCAGAGGCCCUGAGCACAAACUGGAACACAGGAGAUUCCCUCUGAACACUUUCUCACCGCGCGGGUGACAAGCCCUGGCACAGGUUGCCAAAGAGGUGGUGGAGUUUCCCUCCCUGAAGAACCUCAGAAUGAUCCUGGGCAAAUUCAAAGGAAGGGUCCGUCUAGGAGAAGGAGGGAUGGUGGCAGAUGCAGCGACGCCUCGUCCCGACGAUGGGUUUACCCUGCUCCCACGUGGGAUCCAACCUCCUGACCUCUGGCUGGUCUGUCUUCUCAAAGUUCUCUUCCUUCCUUCUCUCCUAGGAACUCAGGACAAUCUACUCAGAGUUUUUUCCUCUCUUAAAAUGCCAAGUGUGAGACAGCACCCACAGCUGAAGCGUUGCAACGGGGAGCUCCAGCUUGCUGGGUUUUUCAGAAACAAGAGACCAUCAGGCCAUGCUUCAUUAAGCUCUUUUAAUUACUUUUCCCAGCCCCCACCACCACCACCAAUGUGUUGUAAAGGGCUAAACCUUGAUCUUAAACCAGGGCUGUUCCUGGGAGGGUGUGCAAUGCAACCGCAGGGUCGGUGUGUGGGUGCAACUCACAGGGGAUUUUCUUGCCCUCCCCCACUGCACCUUUCCAAGGGGUGGCUCGAUUUUUGCAUCUGUACGUUUUACAACCUCAGGGGAAAGGAUUUCCUAUCUCCCUGCUACAGAUUUGGGCAAGAUUAGAGAAAAUAGGCAUGUCGUGGAGAAAAUUUUUUUUUUUCUUUCCUAUUCCAUGCAACUUCUCUUGUUUUGAUAAAGCUUUCAAACAGUCA